GUCCUGGACUAAAGGAGGGAGGACGUCUGAGGGACUCACAGAUCUGUUUCAGAGGAGAAGGACGGACACGCACCUGCUCAGCUUGUCUUCCUGGUGGUGUCCCCCCAGGGGAGACCGUCGCACGCCCCCCGUUUGGAUGCUGUUUGCUCCAAGCCACCUGCUGAUGGGAACUGAGUUUCCCAGAUAGGUUUCUGUCCUGGGAGGGAGACGAACGGAGAGUCCGACACGACCAUCCGGUCUUCUUGGCAGUGGAACUUCUCACAGAAAAUGAAGAUUCUGGCUCCUGCCUGCGAUGAUGCCGUUGGGGGCUGUGAGGCAGAUGGUGUUUAAUGAUGACCAAGGAGAGAUAUGGAAAAGGAGCCAGUGCCCAUCCCCCCCCCCAUCUCGCAAACCUAAAGGAGACCUGAGCUGGUGUGUGGAGCUCUACACUGGAUGUGAGUCGGGAGUUAGCUGCCUUCGCGCCUUGUUAAAACCGAGGACCACAUUUGCUGAUGUCCAGACUUUUCAGACCUUUUCUCUCUUUCUUUCCCUAGAAGACCCACCCGGCUUCUUGCAGGUAAAACCAUCACUUUCAAGAACAGAGGAAUGCCAGCGGGAUGGGCGUGUGGCCGUUAUGAUGUCACCCAUCUUCGGAGACAAGACCUUGCCGAGCCGUCGCCCCCUGCUGGCCAUUAUGACAACCCGCGAUGACACCCCAGACCAGUCUCGGGUGAAAGCCUGA
rnacentral:lncRNA from 1 species